CCUACGGGUGGCUGCAGUGGGGAAUAUUGGACAAUGGGCGAAAGCCUGAUCCAGCCAUGCCGCGUGUGUGAAGAAGGCCUUCGGGUUGUAAAGCACUUUCAGUGGGGAAGAAAGCCUUGGGGCUAAUACCCUCGAGGAAGGACAUCACCCACAGAAGAAGCACCGGCUAACUCCGUGCCAGCAGCCGCGGUAAUACGGAGGGUGCGAGCGUUAAUCGGAAUUACUGGGCGUAAAGCGCGCGUAGGCGGUCUGAUAAGCCGGUUGUGAAAGCCCCGGGCUCAACCUGGGAACGGCAUCCGGAACUGUCAGGCUAGAGUGCAGGAGAGGAAGGUAGAAGUCCCGGUGUAGCGGUGAAAUGCGUAGAGAUCGGGAGGAAUACCAGUGGCGAAGGCGGCCUUCUGGACUGACACUGACGCUGAGGUGCGAAAGCGUGGGUAGCAAACAGGAUUAGAUACCCCAGUAGUC
rnacentral:rRNA from 1 species